CGUACACUCCUGCGGGAGGCAGCAGUGGGGAAUAUUGGACAAUGGGCGCAAGCCUGAUCCAGCCAUGCCGCGUGAGUGAUGAAGGCCCUAGGGUUGUAAAGCUCUUUCACCGGUGAAGAUAAUGACGGUAACCGGAGAAGAAGCCCCGGCUAACUUCGUGCCAGCAGCCGCGGUAAUACGAAGGGGGCUAGCGUUGUUCGGAUUUACUGGGCGUAAAGCGCACGUAGGCGGACUAUUAAGUCAGGGGUGAAAUCCCGGGGCUCAACCCCGGAACUGCCUUUGAUACUGGUAGUCUUGAGUUCGAGAGAGGUGAGUGGAAUUCCGAGUGUAGAGGUGAAAUUCGUAGAUAUUCGGAGGAACACCAGUGGCGAAGGCGGCUCACUGGCUCGAUACUGACGCUGAGGUGCGAAAGCGUGGGGAGCAAACAGGAUUAGAUACCCAGUAGUCCCA
rnacentral:rRNA from 1 species